ACUCCGAUGUAAUCUGAAGAGAUGUUUCUUGCGUAGUAUGGUCAGUAUAAAUACAAGAGAGAUUAGCAACAACAGGAGUGCCUAGGCUUGAAGGGAGGUGAUCAAGGUUUCAAGUAGGGUUUGGUUUUCAGGUUUAGCCCUAAACUUCAGAAUCUCCAGGCUGCCAGGAUCGCAACUUCUUUGAACAUGGCCUCAUGCCAGCUUCUAGUCGCCAUGGCCAUCACUCCUGCAUACCUCUGGAGGUGUCCCAAUGAAUAUUCAAGAUCCCCCAGCAUGAAGCACUGAGCUCACGUUCGGAGAAUAAGUGAGUGUUAGUUUCAACAGGUUAGUUGGAGCAUAGCAAGCAUGAGUGAUCAUCACCAAUGUUGAAGUGCCUCCUGCAGAGAAGAUCCCUUGUUUUAACUCCAUCCAUGAACAUCAACCAGGCAAAAACCUUGUGCUUCAUCGUA